GCAUCGGGUUCUUAUAGGAGAGCAGGCGCAUCCUUCUGGCACGGAAGAGUUCAGAGCGCUGCUUGUGUCUUCUGUAGUCGCCCGCACGGGAGCCCCGGCUGCUCAGAUAUAAACCAGCUUUUUGGCUCAGACCUUUUCCUCUGAAGAUGUGUUUCCUGUACAAAACACUGUGGGCCCAGCCCAGGUGCUGAGGUUGUUGGCCUUGCUGCUCCAUCAGACUUUGGGGAGCUGCUUGCCUUUGUAUUAAGGAUGUCACAGAGGUCACCUGCUGGUCUCCAGAGGAAACAUGCAGCUGAACUCUGCAGAAAAUAGAGGAUCAAUGGCCAGAUACUCUGCUGAGCACAUAACUGUCUGUGCCUUCGGACUACCAUGAUGUCACAACUACUUGACAAUGGUGAAAUCUCACAAUGUUAAGUUACAGAUGUAGAAAGCAGAGAGCAGAAAAUAUCCCUCAGCUAUAGACCGACACAGAUACCUCAGAGUUCAUGUCUUUUUUUCGACAGUCAGAAAAGAAGAAGCAUUCUUAUGCUGAUUAUUGAAAUUGUACAUGUUCCAGUGCAGCAAAGCAAAUAUAUUUAAAGCCAUGAAUGACAGACAUUUCUCAGUACAGUGAAGUAUUCAGUUGUGCCUGCAGUUUCCAGAGGAGCACACGGCUAAGGAAAAGGAAGAUCCUGUGAGGAUGACAAGCUGAGGGAAGUCCAAGUGUUCAGGAAAAAGAGAGUAUGGGCCUGGAAUGUCCUUAUGGUCUCCUCAGAAAGAAUGCUACCAGGAGGAUCCUGACUGUGGUGUAAAGAAGUCAGUUAGGAGAAGUAAAGGAGAGAGUGCAUAAGAAUAUAUAGUGCUAAGAGCAUUCCUGCGGAAUAAUAAUGUAGGUUGGUUUUAUCACUGAUAGAAAUAGCUUCCUAUUGAUUUAGGAAGCUAAGUCUCCAAUAAUACGUUGAGAACGUUGUCCUUUUUCAGUGAUACUCUCCUAGAGAUGGCGGCAGGGACUCCAAAGCUUUGGUAGAGGCUACCAAACCUUGACAGGACAGGAGAAAGGAGGUCCUGAAAUAUGGACUUACUCGGAUCAGCCAAUUUGCUCUGUCUGCCUAGAAUGUUAUUUUUACUUGGAAAGUGGGAAAGCAUUUUUGAAGACAGUGUAAAGCCAGGAAAAAUACAGCUGUCAUUUAUUUGUCAGGAAAAAACAGGAAAUUUCUAUUUUUAUUCUUAGGCAAUUUUUUCACUUUCCUUCUUUUAAAAAUACAAUGACAGUAAAUGAUUAAUAGAUGCAGUCCACAGUGCUGCCAGCAAGAAGCCAACCUGAGUGUAGGGAAAGCUUAAAUAAUUGAAGGGAAAAAAUGACAGAGGCAGCCAUUAGUUCCUCUUGAUAAGAAAGGCUUCAUAGCCUGGCUAUUUGCCCAAAUAAAAGGGAAAAUUUACCAUUAGAGUAGGGCAGUCUGUAGAUUUAGUGAUGGACUUCCCUUGGGGGAAGAAGAAACAUCAGGGCUCAGUGUUCCUAAACUGAUAGAAAAUGAUGCAAAACCUCCUCCUUUUUAGUUGCAUUACAGCACUUACAGCACAACUAGCUUGUCAGAAAUAACUGGGCAGGAUUCCAGAAACAAAACUGAACACCAUAUAGGAGUGUGAAUCAUGUAGCACUGGCUAGUUGCCUUCAGAGGGUGACUCUAUUCCAUAGACAUCCCAGUGGUCAUGGGAGACCUCACAUUCUUACAAAAUGGUCAGCUGAGCAAAUCAGAUUGGCAAAAGUUGAGUAGAUAACAAACUGCAGUCUUCUUGGAGAGGGCAAUGAAAGACAAGUACUCAAAAUAAACGAACGAUUUUCAAAGAGCGGGUUUUAGUUUAUUAGCUGAACUGUCUAUUCUGAAGUUCUGUGUUGUGGUUAUUAGUGGAAGAUAGUGUUUCAUAUUCUCAUCAGGGGAAUAAGAGAGGAUCCUUUCCUAUGAACUGCGGACUACUGUUUCAUAUGACAUGUUUCAUAACGUAGUUUCCUUUAAUUUCCAUGCAAAACUUAACAAGUACCAGAAGACAGGCUGUCCUGAAAAAUCUGUUAAGGCUGACUUGUCUUCUACUGAAGAAAUUUCCCAGGGCCUAAUUAGUCAUUUUGCACAGACAAUAUCAAUAAGGCAGUUGCUGAAUGGUGGUGUUUAACUGAUUAUGUAAAAUGAUAUGGUGGUAAAAGAAGCCAAGCUCUUGGUUAUGUGUGGUUGUUAGAACUUACAGAAGUGACAUAGGGCCCAUCAUUUUCUCCCACAUCUACAGCCACAACAAAACUCGCACUGCUCAUCAUUGGAACCCACUUGGAGCUGAUGUACCACACAAAGUAUUUCUGGGAUGUUUGGAUAUUGAACUCAGUGUUUGCUGAGCUCAGGGAUCUCCACAUGCCCAUGACUGCACUAGAUACUAGGUAUGGCUGUACAAGAAGAGCAUCACAUUGCAACACGAAAUUCUGAGUUGGAGUGUAAUUGGAAUUUGAGCUGAAUAUCGAUUUUCAUGUAGAAAUGAAAAGCACAGCUUAGAACGAGUCUUUUAGGUUGCUUUUGACUCUUGGCAGGCACAAUAUUAAAUAACAAUGACUGCUGAUUAGGAAGCAGAGAAAGAUGGAAGCGGUAGCUACAUCCAGCCCUUGACAACAUCACUUCUUGGACAAUGAUAUCUAAAGCUUUUAGAUAAUGAGAGUAAUGGCUAUAUCCUGUGCAAUGAAAGAGCAGCAUGUUGACUACCGCUGCCUAACAGCAAAGCUUUCUUUCCACUGAGGCAUUCUGGGAAAAGCCAUGGUGGCAUAUGUAUAGGGAGUAAUCAUUCAGCAAAGUAAAUCUGAGUGUGCAGACUGUUGCAGAAUUUCUUGAAGAAUUUGUGCCUGCUAACAAUCUUGUCCUUUUGAUAAGGUCUUAGUGCAAGUUUUAGGAUGCUGCUUACACUAAGUGAUGGUCGUCUCUCUGUGUAACUUUAAUGAGAGGGGGCUGCUAUUGCUCAGUCUUGCUUUGACUUACUGCUUCUGAAGGAUUGUGCAGAAUCUUUUUAAUGAGACCCAGCUGUGCUGGCCAGUUGGAUGAUUGGAAACUGGAAAGAUUUAGGAAAAGGUUUUUUUUUUUGUUUUUUUGUUUUUUGUUUUGUUUUUUUUUUUUCAAAUAUAUCCCUCACCAUAAUUCAAAGGAUCUCCCUAAGAAAAUUAUUUUCCUCUAAUAUUUUUCACUGUGUCUGUCCUUCACAGGUGGCAGUGAGCUGGCACCUUCUGAUACUGAGAUUCUCACUCCUAAGCCGUUUAAUUAAGGCAAUGAUGUUGUGUGGAGUAUAAGAAUUGGAAUUCACCCGUAAUUCUUUUGCAUCCAGUAACUCCUGAAAGUUUUGGAAAAAAUAAAAAUAAAAAAUGACAUGGCAUAGAAUAAAGUAAGAAUAAGCCAGGCAUGAGCUUAUUCUUACUAUCCUGCUGAAGAGGGUAUUGUUGCAAAGCUUAUUUCUACACUAGAAUCCAGCUUUCACCAUUGUGUAACAAGUAGCUCUCCACAACCAAAGUUGUGUGUGUGCUGGACGUAUUCCAGAAAGUACUGAAACAAUAUCAGGGAGAGUAGUAGAGGCUAAUGACCUUCCUUUCCAAGGUUGGUGUUUUUGUUUUACAUGAAGGAGCCAUGAAUGUAUUUUGGAUUUGUUUUGUAGAGGCGUCACAGUCAGUUCUAGUGACAAUAAUACUUGGAACAAAGGCUGAAGAGAGAAAUUGGAGUUAGUGGGCUUCAUCUGAGAGCAGAAAACACUAAUGAUUCUUUGGAUGUCAAUAAGAAGAAAGACGCCAAAGAGAGAAAAAGCAGCAUUAAUGUUACAAAGUCAAGCAAGAGAAAGUUAUAGAGGAUAAAAGAGGCUGUGGCAGGACAAAGAUAGCUGAAUGCACAGGAAUAGGAGGAUCUCCAUGAUUGAGACAUGCAUGUAUCUAAAUUCUAAACAACUCUCACAUAUGAAUGAAAGUCAAGGAUCUAUUCUGCCUACUGUAUCAAUAACAAUAUUUCCCGGAGGCAUUUUGCCUGCAAAAACUUGGGAUGCUGCAGCUGCUGCUUCACAGUAACGGUCAGUGUCAGAUGCAGAGAGGUUAUGUCCUAAUCCCAUCAUUGUUUCCCAUCUGGUAACACUGGUUUUCCCUUCCCUGAUUAACAACCUUGCAGAAGAAGGUGGUGGCUGUCAGAUAUGGGAGCGGUGCCUAAGGGAAGGACCCAAGGGGUGUUUUACGAGGGAGUGUGAAGAAGAGCAGGGCUCCUGCCAAAGAGCACUUUGGGGAUGAAGGAGCUACUGGAGAAAAGGCAAGAGCUGAGGCUACCCAGGUACUAAAGAGGGGUUACCUUUGGUCCUCACAAAGGGUAAGCUGGAGGCUGUCUGCUUCUUCUUGUCUGAAGCAAAGCUCAUAUAUCUGCUGUGAUCUUUCAGAGGAAGUGGCAUAUAAUUAUUUCUUUUGGGUAUCAAUUUUUUUUUUUUUUUUUUUGUGUGUGUGUGUGUGUAUAUUUAAGUUGUUGACAAUUCUGAUGUAAAAGCUAGUAAAGCUAAAUUAUAGAAAUGAGGCUUAGUUUUUAUUUAUCAUAUAACACAUUGUAAAUCUGCAGUGAUUCUGAGUGAGACUGGGGGUAAAAAACAGUGUUUUGUUAUGUGUGCAACCUGUUUUGAUUUCUAUGUUUGUCAUGUUUCUCUUCCAAUCCUGAUUUUUCUUCCCACAGUUUUAAUAUUCUUGGGCUGGAUGAAUUACUUCUAAACAUAGGAAUGCUGAAAAGUACAAGAACUAGCUCUAAGGCUACUUAGUUAUUGCAGUGUGCAAAGAUGUUUUCCAUUAAUACUCUACUGUAUUAACAAAAUAUUCUGAAGUUGAUUUAUUGCAUCUGCUGGACUUUCUGCAUUUCUCAGUAGAUAUUUUCCGGAGCUGCCAUGACUUCUGGUUGCCUGCUGUGAGAAACUGGUACCAGCCAGCUCACUUAAGCUGAUGAAAAAGUCUGAGUUAGAGGUUUUGUGGUUUUACCUGGAGGCAGGGAUUUGAGAUUCCCAGCUUCACUACAGAGCUGGAGUCCUGGGCUUAUUCAUCCAAAGAUCCACACUGAUGACUUGGAGCUUCAACUGUGGGAGACUCCCAGGAAUGAGCACAUCUUGAUCAUCGAGGAUUCUUGGUUCUACUGGCUUCCAUGUCCCUCAUUGCUUUGUUAGCACUCAGCCAGAACUUGUCAAACCAGAGGAACCUGCUGACCUCUCAGAAGCAACCAGUACCUCCCCAACUCUAAUCAGCUGGUUCCAGGUGGAACAGGUUCACGCAUUGGAGCAAGUUUUUUGGAGAAGGUGGUUGUACUAAAACUACAUACGUACCCUGCUUGCUACUCUGUAAAACAGCACCGAAUAUAUCAGUGUUUGAAGCAGAUACCUACCGAAUAAUUAAAGCCUGCCUGUGCAGAGAAAAAAGUUAUUCAGACUUUUUACAGGAAGUGUGCUAUUCUUCUCAAGAAGUUAUGAAAUAAGAUGGAAAAGAUUUAUUAAGAACCCAGAGGGAAAUUCACAAAUAUGCUGAAGGCCAAAUGCUGCAUGAAGAUCAAGCUGUUAGUUUGAACUUGGUUUGAACUAAGUUUCUCUACUUAUGUCAUAUUUUUUGCUGUGCGUUUGGUCGACUCCCAAGUCCAGUGUGCAGGUAAUGCCAUGUACUCCAGCAGAUACAUGUGAAUUUGGAGUUUUAUAUAAAAUCAUAGACUGUCCCAAAUUGGAAAGGUCAUGCAAGGAACAUCAAAUUCAACUCUUGGGUCUGCUUAGGACCACACAAAAAUCAGACCAUGUAUCUGAGAGCAUUGUCCAGAUGCUUCCUGAACUCUGACAGCUCAGUGCCUGGUAUCCAACCUGAUCCUUCCCUGUAAAAGCUUCAUGCCAUUCCCUUGAGUUCUUUUGCUGGACAGCAGAGAGAGUACAUCAGUGCCUGCCUCUCUGCUCCCUCUCAUGAGGAAGCCAUAGCUAUAUCAGCCCACUGAUCAGCUAGCUCUUCUGGCCCCAUCUUCACAGUGAUGUUUGAAUACCAAGGCCUAUACCACUGAUGCAGACAAGUUAACUGCCUGUAUCUUGUAAUAGUCUAUUGAUGCCUAACAGAUAAAGUGCCCGUUGUGCUGAAGAUGGAGCUUGUAGCUAUUCUGUUUUUAUUUCAUUACAACUAAUAUAAAAGGAAAGAAAAUAAAUACAAGCUACCUGUAAGCCAGUACUCUUGGUGCAUUCCCAGGUAGUUCAGUGACACUUAACUAUGCUGGCUGAAGCAGGAGGUCAGAUCUGAUGUUGUAAGGGUUAAAGAGUAAGGUUUGCUAAGUCAUGCCUACAAAUGAAUUCAACAGAAGUGGUUAGCAAUAAUGAAAAAAAUGGGCUUGAUUGGCAGUCUCUCUAAUGCUUCUGGAAUAACUGAACAGACCCUUGUGCCAGCUCAAGGAUUGAUGGGCAUAGGAUUUCUAUCCUGUGCACGGUCAUGUGAUUUUCCUUAGUUCAUGGUCAGUAGGCAAAUUGUGGGGAAGAGUGUAUAAUGCUAGUGAAAGUGUGUUUCUUGAACUUGUGUUAGAAUAAGUUCUGCAUGUAACAGGCCAUUCUGAGUCAUCUACAAAUAAUAUGAAAAUGCUUGCUAAGAGUUUUAGUCAGUCUGUUGAAGUAAUUUAUACUCUGUGGUCCAGAAAUGUAAGGAGCUACAAGAACAUUUAAUUUUCCUAAGAGUGUAUUUCCGGAUAUAAUAUACAAGUUUUCACGUUGAAGCUCAAGUUUUUUUUUCUUCUAUAUUUUAGAUCAGUUUUGAGUGCCAAUUUUGUUUAAAAGUCAGAAAGCUCUUCAGAAGACAAGCUAACUCGCCAACAUUUUUGCCAUUGUUAAGCUAAAUCAUACUCUGCAGACUUUCUGUGAAUAAUUAACUCUAGAACUUACUGUGCUGCUUAAAUGAGGCCUGUACUAGAAAGCAAAAUUAUUUGCACUAUGAGCAGGUUAAUUCAUUUUCUAUGCUGCAAUGCACAAAGAGAAUAAUUCUUCAAUGUCAUUUUAGCAACAAUUUUUUGUAUGUCCAUAUGCCUCUUCUAAGAUGGAGCUGGUAAUCCAUCCCAUUAAAGAUUUAAAUACUUCUUUGAUGCUAAAACAUUUUUCUUAAUUCCAUAAAUAUCUGGUGGCACUUGUUCUAAAUUGAAGUUAGAUGUACUGUUUAAUAUGACAUAGUGAGUUCUGAACUCGCAGCCAAUGAGCAAUGUCAAACCCCGCCUUUUUCUAAGCAAUUAAUUUGAGAAAUGUUCUUUAGUACAAUGUGUAAACUAUUAAAAUACCUGUCAACAUUGCAGAGGCCCAGCAUAAUUUUUUCAUUUCUAUAGACUGGUCUUUCAGUGAUAAGGGAUAACUUCUAAGAUUUUAUUUCAGAAACUUCUAGCAGAGCUAAUCCCAGCAAAACAUUGAAUGUAGUGCUAUGCAGUUCUAGAACUUAUCUGAGCAUUUAUCUCAUUUCUGUCUUGUCCCAAAUCCUCAACUAUACUGACCUCUGCAAGGGCUCAAUCUUUAGGAUUACCUGAAAGUGGAUUAAAGAUAAACCAGUAACUGAAUUUCCACUUAGCCAACAUGUAGCACUCAACCAACCUUCUUUUGAGAGGUUCUCAUUAAUUUCAGUGAAAUAUCUCAUUUCUUUCUCUUCCCAAAAGUAGAUUAAGCCUUGUUCUUCUCUGUUACUUCAUUAUCCCAAAGUAAGGGGAAGAUGAUGGGCAAACUACUUCUUUCAGAUUUCUUGGGAUGUUAUUUGUCCAGCCACCAGAGGGUACUUGCAUCUCAAGCCUCUUAAGAUAACAUACAAUGUCAACAGAAGUAGUAUCAUUGUGGUAACUGUAUUUACAUACUAAUGAAUGCAGAGUGCUCUUGCUUCAUGGUAAAAUUGAAGCUACAUUUAUUUUAACUUAAUUUGAUCUGCUCGUUAUUGGUCAGACUAAUAAAUGUAUCAGCUCUUCAUCAAACAGAAAUGUAGCAGAAAUGAAUUUAAUUGCAUUUCAAUGCACUGAUUUUGUAUUUAUAUGAGUUUACCUGGAUCAGAAAUUCAUGGAUUAUGUCACUGUCUAACUGCUGUCCUGUGUAAGGUGUAAGGACAAAUUGGAUUAAGGUAAUGUAUGUAAAAUACAAGACAAAUGUUAUUUCAAAUACAGGUUGAUGUUUAUUGAGGCACUGCAGAGUCACCAUUAGAUUUAAUUCAAUAUAAAGGACUUUAUAGAAGCAGCAGCAGCAGCAGCAACUUCUGUAGUGCUGCUAUUGCUGCUUUGGGGAUUUUUGUCAAUGUUACAAAACUUUUAGGAAAUCUUCAGAACUUUUGCCAAGGAAAAUACUGGAGCUUGCAACUUAUAAUGUUGAGAAGAUGAAAACAAAUAGGAAUUGGCAACUUUUUACAAAGCAAUCUUGUACUUCAGCUGAAAAAGAGUACUGAUAUAUUUCAGUAUGUGCUGUAUAAAAGUAAUGUUAACUUAUAAUCUAUUAUAUGUUAGGAAUUAUGGAAAGCAAAUUGAAGGGGAGUUUACCAGUGACUUCCUGUUAAAGAUUAGAUCAUAUAAAGAGAAUAUUUCAGAUGUAUCCAUUUGACGUGCUAUGAAUACAAAACCUAUGGAGGCUGUUCUAAUGUUAUUCACUGUAUCAUCUGUUUAGAAUACAGGACAUCACCUCAACAAGUAUUACCAUUGGUCGGUUCUAGAUACGCUUUCACAUGGAGAUUCAUGAAGCUCAUACCUUCUGGAAAUACUGUAAUUUUGGUCUUCAUGGAAGUUUUUAGAUAAGCUUUGUCUUUAUCCU